ACGGAAGGCAGCAGUGGGGAAUAUUGGGCAAUGGGCGAAAGCCUGACCCAGCAACGCCGCGUGAAGGAAGAAGGUCUUCGGAUUGUAAACUUCUUUUAUGAGGGACGAAGGACGUGACGGUACCUCAUGAAUAAGCCACGGCUAACUACGUGCCAGCAGCCGCGGUAAUACGUAGGUGGCAAGCGUUAUCCGGAUUUACUGGGUGUAAAGGGAGCGCAGGCGGGACAGCAAGUUGGAUGUGAAAUACCGAGGCUUAACCACGGAGCUGCAUCCAAAACUGUUGUUCUUGAGUGAAGUAGAGGUAGGCGGAAUUCCGAGUGUAGCGGUGAAAUGCGUAGAUAUUCGGAGGAACACCAGUGGCGAAGGCGGCCUACUGGGCUUUAACUGACGCUGAGGCUCGAAAGUGUGGGGAGCAAACAGGAUUAGAUACCCUGGUA
rnacentral:rRNA from 1 species